rnacentral:misc_RNA from 1 species
GUUUGAUGGUAGUUUCACAGUAGCUAUUCUAUCAGCAAAAGAGAUGGCGCCAGGAUGGUUUUCAGGCCCGUUGAUGACAGCAUCUCUCAUUUUAACAGCAUUCCAAGGAGUCAACCUCUCAGGAUAGGUUAGCCUUGAAGCAAAAUAUGGUGGAAUUCCAAUUUCAUUGACAGACAAAUAAGGAUCUGGAGAUAUAACUGAUCGGCAAGCAAAAUUGACU